rnacentral:lncRNA from 1 species
UUUGCUUGACUUAUAACACAGAUCUGUGCCUCUAAACCGUAAUCAGAUCUACCCGGUUGGUCCGAAGCAGGGGCGAUUUGCACAAAUAGGAUUCUGAGGUCACUAUUAAUAUUUUGUUGCGCAAGUUUUUUGCAAAUCUCAUUAGUUUAGUUUAAGUCUGAGGCUGCGAUGAAAGCAGAGAGCUGUGGGGGGUUUCAAUGGAUGGUUUUGCCCCUCUCUGUCAUUUUGCGCUACCAGUGAUCGCUCCAAUGAAAAACUUUUACAACUAAUAAACCACCCUAAAUACAUACGACCUUGCUAGUUUCCUUUUCUUGUUACUCUCUUGGUUUCAUUUUAUGUGCAAUGAGGCUAUGAAGAUUUUGUUUUUCUGCGGAAUAUGUAUCAGAUAUCUUUCUAUUACAACAACGUCAAUAUACCCAUUGAAAUCCCACUAGUAGAGACGGGGAGGGUAGUGUGUGCGCAGGCCUUAACCCUACCCUUAUGAAGAUAGAAAUGUUAUUUCCGAUAGAGUUGUAAAAAUUAGAUUUGAGAUUAUCCGGACUGCAUCUUAGCGGGGCAUGCCCCCAGAUUUCUUUUGGUUUAUGCAGCCAUGGCGUCUUUGGAUCUCUUUUUGCAUUGUCUAGUUGAAGUGUCUCAAUGACAAUUCAUGACAAGUUUGAGGGGCUAUCUAUGUAUUCUGCCUAUCUGAAAUAACAAUUCAUAUACAAUACAAGCUGUUAUUAGUCUAUUUGGUUUAGAGACAAAGAAUGAGGGUUGCAGAGAGUAGAGGGAAGCUCAAAGGCAGCUGCUCCUCUCUACAAUACCUGUGAUUUCAUUUUUGCCAAACAAGGCCCUAAUGUGGUAAACUGUAUCCAAAUGACCCCUCUACUCUAUCUCCAAAUCCUCACUCCCAAAAAGUGAAUCAAUAAUUAUAAUAUUAAUUGUAGCAAAAAUAUGAGGCUGUGAUGAUAUUUUUUCUUCUGUCUCUGAAGAAAAUCAAUUAGGAAAGAGAAAAAGAACAAUUCGACCCGUACCUUGGCGGGGCGACCGGGACGGUGACGACUUGCAACCGGUAUUUGCAGCCAUGGCGGUGUCUCCAAUCUCUUGCCCAAGCUUUAAUAUUACAGAUCUGAGCCUCAAUUGGAAGGUUUUUUUCUCAAGUGCAAACUUACAGGCUCUUUUCCGUUGAACGUUGAAAUUCUCAGCUGAAAAACCCAUGAGAAUUUCCCCUAAAUAUGCAAAAAGAUUAGCCCAGAAAGAAAUGAAGCAAAGCAGAGAAUAUUGGGAUUUUCAUUUGAAGGGUGGUGGCCCCUCUCUGUUCUGCCAUUGAUUUUCCUCCAUUUAAAAAAAAAACAACAGCCCUUGUUUAUGACAAAAGAAGAAGCAGACGAUCUUUGGACAUAAGAAUUAUAAAAUUCCUGAAAAAAGUAAACUUUUCAGUGAAAUCUCUAUUUACUUUUUGUGUGUGUGUUUAUGUUGCUGAUGGAAGUUACAUAAGAGGCAGUGAUGAUGAUGUUUCUUGUAUCUGGGCUAACCGAUUUGGUCAUAGAGAUGACUGGACCCCCGUAUCUUGGCGUGGCAACCUUGUAUGGCCUGUGAUUGAGAUUUAUGUCUCUCACUUGCAACUGGUGUUUUGCAGCCAUGGCAUAGCUGGCUUCUCUUUGCCUUAUCAUAACAUAUCUGAGCCCCAUGUGCAAGAAAAGAAAAGAAAGAUAAUCUUUUCUAUGAUUUAGAUUAUCAGGAAAAUAGGAACGGGAGUCUUGGAGUAACAUAGCUUUGCCCCAUUUGUAAUCUUUUCUAUGAUUUGGAUUAACACGAAAAUAGGAAGGGGAGUCUUGGCGUAAUGGUAAGUUCUCCUUGUGUGACCUAUCAUUCACGAGUUCGAGUUGUCAAAGCGUUCACAACUAUUGGUUCUUGCAUUAGGGUAUCUGUCUACAUUACACUCCUUGAGUGCAGCGACUCCCCGGGCCCUCGCGAACGUAGGUUGUCUUGUGCACCAGGCUGCCCUUGGAUUAACAGGAAGAUAACAAAAAACUCAUUUGUUAGUUCGAGGCUGCGGUCACGGCAGAGAGCUGUAGGAAGUUCCUUUGGGUGGUUUUGCACCUCUGUAGUUGUCCCCCGCUGAUGAUCGCUCAAAUGCCCCUUUUUAGAACAACCCUUUGGUGAAAAUACGUAUUACUCCCUCCCUUUCAAUUUAUGUGAUGCAAUGAGGCUACGAAGGAAGGGGAGCCUUGGCGUGACGGGUAAAGUUGAUGGCAUGUGAUCAGGAGAUCACGGGUUCAAGCCGUGGAAAAUAUGCAGCUAAGACUGCGUACAAUACUCUUGUGUUCUGGCCCAUCACCGGAACGGUGGACCCUGCAUAAUGGGAGCUUAGUGAACCGGUCCGCCCUGAAUGAGGCUAUGAAGAUUUUAUUCUUCUGUGGGAGAUGAAUCAGACUUACAAAUCUAUUGAGCUGGGAAAAAUUUGUAAUCUUGGCGUGGCAGCUCAGAUGGGGCAGAAGAAUCCAUUUUUGUGUGUUUUUUCCCUUUUUCAUAAGACUAACUGAUGCUUGCAGCCAUGACGGUCUUUUUCCAAAGCUUUUUGGGUUUUUGGCUGAGAAAAGGAGAAGAAUGAGGCAACAGAGAGAUUGGGAUUUUCUGUAAAAGGGUAGUUGCCCCCCUCUGUUAUUCCUACGAUUUCUCCAUUGUAAAUCAACAGUCCUUUGAAUUAAACCCAAAAGAAAAAAAUCAUUCAAUCAGACCCUUAAUAUAUUGCUCAUCCUCUUCCUCUUUGUCCUCUCUUUGUGUUGCUGCUACUGAAUACUGAUGUAUAUAUAGGGACUGAUUUUUGCUUUUCGUUUCUGGCUAUGUUCAAUUCAUG